GAGUAGUACAAGUUAAGCUCUUAAAACUCAAAAAAUUUGGCGGUAUUUUAUCUUACUAGAGGAACCUGUUUAUUAAUUGAUAGUCCACAACUUUAAUUUACUUUUAUUAAAUUAUUUGUAUACCGUUGUCAUGAAUCUAUUAAAAAGUAAUUUUCAAGGUUUUUUAUAUAAUUUAUGUUAGAUCAAGGUGCAGUUUAUAGAAGUAAGAAAUGGGUUACAUUAGUUAAGAUGUAUGGAAGUUAUUAUUAGAAAAUAAUAGAAAAAGGAUUUAAAAGUAAAAGAAUUAGUAAAGAUUUUUUAUGAAUUUAGAUUCUAAAAUAUG
rnacentral:rRNA from 1 species